UAAUACGUAGGGAGCAAGCGUUGUCCGGAAUUACUGGGCGUAAAGGGCGCGUAGGCGGGAAUUUAAGUCAGAUGUGAAAUCUCCGGGCUCAACCUGGAGCCUGCAUUUGAAACUGGAUUUCUUGAGGGCAGGAGAGGAAAGUGGAAUUCCUAGUGUAGCGGUGAAAUGCGUAGAUAUUAGGAGGAACACCAGUGGCGAAGGCGACUUUCUGGACUGUACCUGACGCUGAGGCGCGAAAGCGUGGGGAGCAAACGGG
rnacentral:rRNA from 1 species